UACGUAGGUGGCAAGCGUUGUCCGGAUUUACUGGGCGUAAAGCGAACGCAGGCGGAUGGUUAAGUAAGAAGUGAAAGGUUGGAGCUCAACUCCAACACUGCUUCUUAUACUGGCUAUCUUGAGUAGCGGAGAGGAAGAGGGAACGACACGUGUAGCGGUGAAAUGCGUUGAUAUGUGUCGGAACACCCAUGGCGAAAGCACUCUUCUGGACGCACACUGACGCUCAUGUUCGAAAGCUAAGGGAGCGAACAGG
rnacentral:rRNA from 1 species